GAACGUUGGCGGCACGCUUAACACAUGCAAGUCGAACGAGAAACCCGAGCUUGCUCGGGUGGACAGUGGCAGACGGCUUAGUAACGCGUGGGUAUCUACCUAGAGGUUUGGAACAACUAUUGGAAACGAUAGCUAAUACCAAAUAUUCCCUAAGGGGGAAAGAUUUAUCGCCUUUAGAUGAGCCCGCGUCGGAUUAGCUUGUUGGUAGGGUAAAGGCCUACCAAGGCAACGAUCCGUAGCUGGUCUGAGAGGAUGAUCAGCAAGAUUGGGACUGAGACACGGCCCAGACUCCUACGGGAGGCAGCAGUGGGGAAUAUUGCGCAAUGGGGGAAACCCUGACGCAGCGAUGCCGCGUGAGUGAAGAAGGCCUUAGGGUUGUAAAACUCUUUCACCGGUGAAGAUAAUGACGGUAGCCGGAGAAGA
rnacentral:rRNA from 1 species